rnacentral:rRNA from 1 species
GUGCUGAAAGCAUCUAAGCACGAAACUUGCCCCGAGAUGAGUUCUCCCUGAGACCUUGAGUCUCCUGAAGGAACGUUGAAGACGACGACGUUGAUAGGUCGGGUGUGUAAGCGCAGCGAUGCGUUGAGCUAACCGAUACUAAUGAACCGUGAGGCUUAACCUUACAACGCCGAAGGUGUUU